AACUCCGCCUAUGUUUUGAGUAAUCGAAAAACUGCAUUGCCACGCGAACACAGGCAAAGAAGUAAGCCUAUUUACUUCGCCAACAAAACAGGAAAACGUACCACAACUUCAAAACUAUGACAUGUUGUAUAUUGUGUAGCAUAACAGCUACCAAAACAAGAGCACAAUAACAUAACGUAAGGAACAUGUCUGCAGUUCUGGUGCAUGUUAAAACCCUUGCACCACAUUAUUGUAACAUGGCACUAGAGAAACCAAGAAAACAUGGCACAUCCCAUCUCCACUCGCUCAUCUACCAGAUGCAGGAAAGUGACUAGCUGUAGUGAAGAUUUUUUAUGAAUUAUUAUGCCCCAGUCAGCACCACAAAAACUCUUCUCCAGUUGAAUCCAUCCUUGACGCCAUAUUAACGGCAUCGCCCCAUAUAUCGUACAGAGGUUUCUGUGCUCCAAUAACCCCAGCAGUAAUUGGACCAUGUGAAAUGCCUAAAAAUGAUGAGUUCAUAAAUCAUACAAUAAUGUAAAUGUGUGGAGAGUAUAUGAAUAGGAAGUGCAGCCAUCAUCCUUGUUGCAAAACGAGCAAGCACAUACACAACAUGUUGGGGGAAUGUUUGCCUGCUAAUGGAAGUUGUUGAGUCC